rnacentral:rRNA from 1 species
GACGUAGGGUGCGAGCGUUGUCCGGAUUUAUUGGGCGUAAAGAGCUCGUAGGCGGCUCGUCGCGUCGACCGUGAAAACCCGCAGCUUAACUGCGGGCUUGCGGUUGAUACGGGCGGGCUAGAGUUCGGUAGGGGAGACUGGAAUUCCUGGUGUAGCGGUGAAAUGCGCAGAUAUCAGGAGGAACACCGGUGGCGAAGGCGGGUCUCUGGGCAGUAACUGACGCUGAGGAGCGAAAGCGUGGGGAGCGAACAGG